rnacentral:rRNA from 1 species
GAUGAACGCUGGCGGCGUGCCUAAUACAUGCAAGUCGAGCGAACAGACGAGGAGCUCGCUCCUCUGACGUUAGCGGCGGACGGGUGAGUAACACGUGGAUAACCUACCUAUAAGACUGGGAUAACUUCGGGAAACCGGAGCUAAUACCGGAUAAUAUAUUGAACCGCAUGGUUCAAUAGUGAAAGACGGUUUUGCUGUCACUGAGAGAUGGAUCCGCGCCGCAUUAGCUAGUUGGUAAGGUAACGGCUUACCAAGGCAACGAUGCGUAGCCGAACUGAGAGGGUGAUCGGCCACACUGGAACUGAGACACGGUCCAGACUCCUACGGGAGGCAGCAGUAGGGAAUCUUGCGCAAUGGGCGAAAGCCUGACGGAGCAACGCCGCGUGAGUGAUGAAGGUCUUCGGAUCGUAAAACUCUGUUAUUGGGGAAGAACAAAUGUGUAAGUAACUAUGCACGUCUUGACGGUACCUAAACAGAAAGCCACGGCUAACUACGUG